rnacentral:rRNA from 1 species
CAGCCGCCGCGGUAAUACGAAGGGUGCAAGCGUUAAUCGGAAUUACUGGGCGUAAAGCGCGCGUAGGUGGUUUGGUAAGAUGGAUGUGAAAUCCCCGGGCUCAACCUGGGAACUGCAUCCAUAACUGCCUGACUAGAGUACGGUAGAGGGUGGUGGAAUUUCCUGUGUAGCGGUGAAAUGCGUAGAUAUAGGAAUGAACACCAGUGGCGAAGGCGACCACCUGGACUGAUACUGACACUGAGGUGCGAAAGCGUGGGGAGCAAACAGGAUUAGAUACCCGCGUAGUCCCUGUCUCUUAUAC